rnacentral:rRNA from 1 species
GACGAACGCUGGCGGCGUGCCUAAUACAUGCAAGUCGAGCGCAGGAAACUGACGGAACUCUUCGGAGGGAAGGCAGUGGAAUGAGCGGCGGACGGGUGAGUAACACGUAAGGAACCUGCCUCAAGGAUUGGGAUAACUCCGAGAAGUCGGAGCUAAUACCGGAUAGUUCAUCGGACCGCAUGGUCCGUUGAUGAAAGGCGCUUCGGCGUCACCUUGAGAUGGCCUUGCGGUGCAUUAGCUAGUUGGUGGGGUAACGGCCCACCAAGGCGACGAUGCAUAGCCGACCUGAGAGGGUGAUCGGCCACGCUGAGACUGAGACACGGCUCAGACUCCUACGGGAGGCAGCAGUAGGGAAUCUUCCACAAUGGACGAAAGUCUGAUGGAGCAACGCCGCGUGAGUGAUGAAGGUUUUCGGAUCGUAAAACUCUGUUGUAAGGGGAGAACACGUACGAGAGGAAAUGCUCGUACCUUGACGGUACCUUACGAGAAAGCCACGGCUAAUUACGUGCCAGCAGCCGCGGUAAGAC